GGAGUGAGUUAAAAAGUGGACAAACUCAACCUUUCUGGUGACUAUUUUUUUUAGCGAGGCAAAGUUCCAUGCUCAUCCACUCAUUUUUUUGGAAUUCCGACCAUCUGGGUCUUUAUAAAAUGGACUAAAACCCCUAGUGGCAAAGUUCCAUGGUCAAAAUUCCCGUCAAUCAGGUGGAAAAAUGGUUGAGUUUGUCAACUUUUUAACUUACUCU
rnacentral:pre_miRNA from 1 species